AAACGGUACAGGAUGUGCUUGCACAUCGCUAGACGAGUGGCGGACGGGUGAGUAAUGCUUAGGGAUCUGCCUCUGUGUGGGGGAUAACUAUUGGAAACGAUAGCUAAUACCAGCAUAAUGUUUAAGGACCAAAGGGGGCGUUUGCUCCCGCGCAGAGAGGAACCUAAGUGAGAUUAGCUAGUUGGUAAGGUAAUGGCUUACCAAGGCAACGAUCUCUAGCUGUUCUGAGAGGAAGAUCAGCCACACUGGGACCGAGACACGGCCCAGACUCCUACGGGAGGCAGCAGUGGGGAAUAUUGCACAAUGGGGGGAACCCUGAUGCAGCCAUGCCGCGUGUGUGAAGAAGGCCUUCGGGUUGUAAAGCACUUUCAGUUGUGAGGAAAGGUUAGUAGUUAAUACCUGCUAGCUGUGACGUUAGCAACAGAAGAAGCACCGGCUAACUCCGUGCCAGCAGCCGCGGUAAUACGGAGGGUGCGAGCGUUAAUCGGAAUUACUGGGCGUAAAGCGCACGCAGGCGGUUUGUUAAGCUAGAUGUGAAAGCCCCGAGCUCAACUUGGGAUGGUCAUUUAGAACUGGCAGACUAGAGUCUUGGAGAGGGGAGUGGAAUUUCUACUGUAGCGGGUGAAAUGCGUAGAUAUUAGAAGGAACAUCAGUGG
rnacentral:rRNA from 1 species